rnacentral:rRNA from 1 species
GUGAGGAAUAUUGCGCAAUGGAGGCAACUCUGACGCAGCCAUGCCGCGUGCAGGAAGAAGGCGCUACGCGUUGUAAACUGCUUUUAACCGGGAAGAAACCCCAGGACGUGUCCUGGGUUGACGGUACCGGAGGAAUAAGCACCGGCUAACUUCGUGCCAGCAGCCGCGGUAAUACGAAGGGUGCAAGCGUUAUCCGGAUUCAUUGGGUUUAAAGGGUGCGUAGGCGGAGCGUUAAGUCAGUGGUGAAAUCCUGCAGCUUAACUGUAGACUUGCCAUUGAUACUGGCGCUCUUGAGUGCGGUUGAAGUGGGCGGAAUGUGCCGUGUAGCGGUGAAAUGCUUAGAUAUGGCACAGAACACCAAUUGCGAAGGCAGCUCACUAAGGCGAUACUGACGCUGAGGCACGAAAGCGUGGGGAUCGAACAGGAUUAGAAACCCGAGUAGUCC